rnacentral:rRNA from 1 species
AUCCUGCCAGCAAUCAUAUGCUUGCCUCAAAGAUUAAGCCAUGCAUGUCUAAGUAUAAGUAUCAUACUGCGAAACUGCGUACAGCUCCUUAUCUCAGUUAGGAUGUCUUGGAGGGUCCUUUUCUCUAUGGGUAGCCGUAGUAAUUCUAGAGCUAAUACAUGCCGUCCUUUUGUGUGUGGAUUAGAUCCUGUCAGCCCUAUUUCUGUGCUGAGUCCUAGUCCCUUAACGUACGACAUAUUAUGUCGAUUGUCCUUCCACUUUCUGCCCUAUCAGCUUUGGACGGUCGUGUAGUGGUCCACCGUGGCUAUGACGGGUGACGGAGAAUCAGGGUUCGAUUCCGGAGAGGGAGCUUGAGAAACGGCUACCACAUCCAAGGAUGGCAGCAGGCGCGCAAAUUACCCAAUCUCGAAACGAGGAGGUAGUGACAAUAGGUAACAAUGCUGGGCUGCUUUCAAUGCAGCACGGCAAUUGGAAUGAGAGUGCGACACAGAAAGGCAGUGUGAAAUUAACAUUGUUUAAACCCACAUUCGAGGAGCCAUUGGAGGGCAAGUCUGGUGCCAGCAGCCGCGGUAAUUCCAGCUCCAAUAGCGUAUAUUAAAGUUGUUGCACACAGAUUGUUUACUUUGAGAAAAAUAGCGUGUUCAAAGCAGGCGUUGAUUCACACUUCUUUCAUUUGUAAAGAAAUGCCUUAUAUUGUGCUCUAGUUUGGGUUGUAACAAAUCAAGACUAAAGCAUGACUUGAAUACAUUAGCAUGGGAUAAUAAAAUAGGACAUUGGUUCUGUGUUUCGACUCCGAUUUCAGAUAGCCUUUUAUUAGGAUUUAUCUGGUUCGAGGACCGAUGUAAUGGUCAACAGGGACUGUUGGGGACAUUCAUACUCCAUGGCUAGAGGUGAAAUUCUUGGAUUCAUGGAAGAUGAACUAGUGCGAAAGCAUUUGUCAAAGAUGUUUUCAUUGAUCAAGAACGAAAGUUAGGGGAGCAAAGACGAUCAGAUACCGUCGUAGUCUUAACCAUAAACGAUGCCGACUCUUGGGAUUGGGGGGCGCUGCGUGUUUUUAGUCUUUAAGGUAGUUCAUUCUGCUUUUUAGAUUUUUGAAACACAACCGGCCUCCCCAGCACCUCCGUUAAUCAAAACAUACAAGGGAAACCGUUAAGUGUUUGGGUUCCGGGGGGAGUAUGGUCGCAAGGCUGAAACUUAAAGGAAUUGACGGAAGGGCACCACCAGGAGUGGAG